rfam:Marchantia polymorpha subsp. polymorpha scaffold3070, whole genome shotgun sequence.
GAGAGCCGUAUACGUCGAGAGGUGUACGUACGGUUCGGGGAGGAGUUCUUGGAAACCUACCAUAGAAAUAUGGAAAGGCGCCGGGUUCUUACUCUAC